CAAAAACGCAAUAUGUCGCUGUCUUAAGAUUAUAUGCAAAAGCUUGCAUUCGAAUGACCAGCUUUACCGAGACUUUCCUACUUUUUCCUGCGUAUUUCGGUGUAGCAAAACGGCUAACUUGCUGGUGUAGUUAAGGUUAUGCUGAUAGAUUUUUUUUUAUUUCACUGCGUCAUAGCUAUCUCUGGGCGCACCGGUAUUAAUAGACCUAACUUUAUAUAUCCACAAGCUACGCCAGCACAAACAGAAAUUCAAAUAAACGAUUUACUAAUAAAGUCUUUCUUGCUAAUUACUUGUGCUAAAAACUCUCGUAGCUUCUCACAUGUAAAUUAAACGACCCGAGACCAUUUCUUUUUGAGAUUCUUUCUUAAAUAAACAUAUUUUAAUUUUUGGUUUGGCUUCUUUGGCGAAUAUGGAAAGUCAUUUCCGCCAGUGUGAUUAAAACAAGAUCCUGUAUGUUAUUAUAAUAAUUUUUUUUCCCGAAAUAGUAUUCAGUUAGUAUUUCAAAAUAAUGACUCGAAUAUCGCAAAAUAAUAAGUUACGUUUCUCGAAGUAAUGACUUAGUGUCUUAAGAUUUUAGUCUAUCAGCCAAUGGCUAGUAAAUUGAAAAAAAUCAGCCAAUAUAAACAUUUACAGCUUUUCUUUUUAGUUACUUUAACAAUUUCAGUUUAUUCAGAACAGUCUUGAGGCACAGUUGGUGGUCUUGUUUGUAACCCGGGUAUGUAACGUAGUCUAGCGGGUUUGUUGUGGAAAGUGAGUUUCAUGCUGUAAGACAGGCAUGUCCAAAGUCCGGCCCGGGGGCCAAAUGCGGCCCACAUUCAAAUUUCUACCAGCCCACAGCCUCUGUCAUAAAAUCAAUAAUAGGCGGCCCACCAGCACUGUUGACCACAGUAUAAAAUAUAUGUCUACAAAAUACAAUUUUACAUUAUACCAGCAGAUGGCAGUAGCCUCGUGGCCACACUCUUAAUUAACUUGACCCAAGGGUCAAAACUUACGUGGCCCAAUUUCAAAAUGGCGACUGCAACCAAAAGAAGGAAAGUUGACAGCGAGGGCCGCCGCUUUCAGGACAAGUGGAAAUUGGAGUAUUUUUUCACUGAAAUACGAAACAACUGUGUCUGUCUAAUUUGCCAAGAGACUGUGGCUGUUUUCAAGGAAUUCAAUAUCAAGAGGCACUACUAGACGAAACAUGCAAACUACGAAAAUCUAACUGGGAACGAACGUGGCGAAAAGUUGAAGCAACUAGAAGCUGUUUUAACGGCACAGCAGCGCUUUUAUACAAGAUUGCGCGGGACAAAUGAAAAUUUCACAAAGGCUAGCUACGAGGUGGCAAAGCUGAUUGCCAAGCACUGCAAACCUUUUAGUGAGGGUGAGUUUAUUAAAGACUGUGUGAUGAAAAUGGUGGACACAAUUUGUCCUGAGAAGAAGAAAGAAUUUGCCAAUGUUUGCCUGGCUCGUAACACUGUGGUACGGCGAAUUGAAGACGUUUCAUCUCAUAUUAAGAGACAGUUGGAGGCAAAAGGAGGAGAAACUGACUUUUUUUCGUUAGCCUGCGACGAAAGCACCGAUGCCUCUGACACCGUUCAGUUAUUGAUUUGUUAUUGAGGAGUGGACAACGAAAUGAACGUGAGUGAAGAGCUACUUGACCUCCAGAGCCUUAAAGACCAAACAAAAGGAACUGAUUUAUUUGUUUCUGUUUGUUCUGCUGUAAAUGACAUAUAACUACUGUGGGGAAUAAAUCACUGGGAUUAUUACAGAUGGCGCACCUGCCAUGGCUGGCGAGCGAAGUGGAGGAAGAAGGAGGCAAAGCUAUAAAACUCCACUGUAUUAUUCACCAACAAGUUCUAUGUGCCAAACAUCUGAAAUAUGAUCAUGUGAUGAAACUGGUGAUAAAGGCUAUUAGUUAUAUUCGCUCCAAAGCCCUAUGCCACCGCCAGUUUCAACUGUUUCUGCUCGACAUUCAGGCUGAAUAUGGAGAUGUUGUGUAUCACAACAAUGUCAGAUGGCUCAGUCAGGGGUCGGCACUGCAACGCUUCUAUUCUCUUAGGGAGGAAAUCGGACAAUUCUUGGCAAAAAGGGACAACUGAUGCCAGAACUAUCCGAUCCUGUUAGGCUGCCUGAUUUUGGAUUUUUAGUUGACAUAACGUGACAUCUGAAUGAGCUGAACACGAGCAUUCAGGGGCAAAAUGCAGUGGUAAGCCAACUGUAUUCACACAUCAAAGCCUUCAGGACCAAGCUGCUACUUUUCCAAAGGCACCUGUCACACACGCAGCCCAAUACCACGCAUUUCCCAUCCCUGCAGAAAAUAAUGACCAGUUUUUCACAGAACGAUAUCAGUGCGCAAACAAGGAGAUAUGCAGCAGAUGUCUCACCCGUGCUUAUGCAUUUUCCUAACAAUGGCUACUAUAUAUAUUUAAAUGCAGUUCCUCUGACAAGAUAUAGUACAAUACUACCAAAGGUGUUGUGGGUAUAUUAAGAUUUGUACCCUGAGUUUUGAUCCAAACAUCAAAAAUGUCAUAUGGUGUGACUGUCCGGCAUAUGAGAGCCCUCACAAAUAAGAGCAUAUUUCCAAAUAAAUUAUAAAUAUUUAAUAGUUCUACAGUGCAUAUAAAAUAAUACUGUGUUACCAAUUGCCGUCGAUGAGUAUGCAUAAUGUCGAAACAAAUUCUGUCCAAAUACAUUUGGUCCGCAAAAUGGUCGUCAUAUGGUGUGACACUAUAAUUUAUAUUUUGAACGGACAAUAAUUUGGACAUCUUAUUGAUGAAGAGCACCGCACCCAACCAGGAAGUUACAACAAUAUCUCUGGAGUGGAGUUGCAAAGUCAUGAGUUGAGUUGUGCUUUUCUGAUUUUUGGUUAAAAAGCAAACUGACAUUGAGGUGUGGUGCAGUGCAUCAUAUGGCGUGACACCAUGUCAUUUGGUGCGACAUUCACAAUUGUGACAAGAAAAGUCUUUGUUAGUUGCAGUUCAUGAAAAUAUCAAUAGAUCAAAGGAAAUUAGUAUCAGCAAGAGUCUUAAGCAAUUUCUUACUGUUACAGGGUUUAAGAGAAUUUAUCUAAAAUAGCUUAAAAACGUUGAGGAGCAAUGUCCUCCGUUGCAUGAUGAUUUCGAAAAAUAAACCGAAAUAUACGAAAUUUUCACAAGGAAAUGUUAAAUAUCAAAGCAGUCAUGAUUAAAAUGUUUGAUGAAGUGAGUUAGAAAAAAAAUAAAUACCUCAUUUUCACUUCAUAUGAAAUAGCUUUCAUGUCACACCAUAUGACAAUUUAAGGCACUGAUAGAGCAAAUUGAUGAAAAAAAUGCAACCUCCUAGCAGGUGGAUCAUGGCAUGAGCAUAGAAGUUCUUCCUGUAUUAGUUUCUUUGGUACCAGCACGUUAUCACAUUCUCAAAUUCUUGCGAGAGUGAAGGGAGAAGCUAACGGCUGUAGAAGUGCUUCUGGUUCAUGGAACAUCUUUGUCGAUAUGGCGGGAUCCAAUUCGUGAGCAGGUAGUUAUUUAAGUACCUUACUGUCAUCACAGUUGAAGCUCCAGCUUUACAAAACGGUUGCUUCCAUACUUCAUAACACAAGAACAAGCUAGCAUUUGUUGAUGUUUGCUAACCGUAACCAGUAUCAGGGCAAAUGUUAGCUUAUUGCACGCAAGUGUUAGUUAACAUUUAAGUCUGAUAUCUCGUGUUUAAAUUCUAAACGUUACGAUAUCUGUCGUAAUAUUGCAAAUAAUAGAGAUCAUGUCAACCCUUGGGUUCUAUAACAGUAAACCUGAGCAACAUUUAGAUGUGUUUUGUUAAUGUUACUUUAGGUACUCCAGUAAGUUAUGAAGAUUAGAAGUUAACAACAUAAGUUAGGCACCAUCUUUAAUAUUGACAUUACAACAGUUGAAGUACAUUUGGGCAUCACUGAGUAACUUUUUUCAGAAUGGCAGAGAAAGCUCCAGUUCAUCCCUGCUAACAGAACAGGCCAAGACAAUACUGCUAUUGUUGAUGUGAAGAAUGGAGUAGGCUGGACGGCAGAUAGCAAGAGCUUCCUCCCUUGGACUUUAGCUGUGCUGGUUCAUUAAGAGGUUCAGUAUGUGGGAGGUCAAUCAACACACCUCUUAUUCUAAAAGUUUCUAGAUUGGAUUCUUUGAUGCUGACUCGCUGUUCAGUCAUGUCUGGUUGUUCUAUAACUCUUCCAAAACUUUUUUCCUGCCCAAGUUUUUCUGUAGACCUUCUGUCCAGGGCCAAAAUUUGUGGGACAGCAAGGUGGAUGGGUCCUGGGACUUGUAUGUUUCCUGUGAUUACCUGUAUAUUAAACCUUAGUGCAGAGUUUAUUUUUCAUUGUUGGUGCACUUUAUGGAACUGGGACACACUUCCACAGAGGGUAUCAGACAAAUGUCAUAUUGCAGAUGUAUUGAGUGAAAGUAAACACAAAGGUUGUGUUGUAUGUUGCAAUAAACUGUUGACUGUAGUUUUAACAAGAGAAAAUGUAAUAGUUGUUCAGACACCAAUCAUAAGGAUUUGUUUAUGUGAUGAACAAACAUAUAACUAUCAGACCAUCAACUCUCUUUGUUUUUUGUUACAGAUGCUGCAUACUGUUCCCAAAAUUCAAUUUGAAAAUGUUUUAUUUGUUGUCCUUCUGUUGACAGUUGACCAUAGGGUAGCUGAGGGCAAGUGUGAGGCUGCUCUGGUUUUGUAGUUGCACUUUAAGAGCUAAUUUGGACUACUUCAGUUCUUCCUUUUGUCUAUGAGAAGGAACCAUGGACAGGGUAUUUUGAACAAGUAGAUGGUUAGCUUUACUGAGUCUUAAUAGCCUGUGUUGCCAUUGUAUUAUAUGCUGAGACCGUGCUGCACAUUUUCACAGCAUAAUCUCAGUAUAUGCUCAACAUGGUUGGUACACCUGUAGUUUAAUUGUGUAGAUCAAAAACCUUUGGUGGUUGUUGGAUGUGUCAGAGAAAUUAAAAUAUAUUUACUGUCACCUCCAUUAUGGAUAGACGCUUAAGAUAACUGAUGAAAAUGUAUACAACAGCUAGGCUGUAUUUAUCGAGAUCUGUGGUGCCAAAUGGCCGCUCCUUGUUUCCAGCGUAAUGUGUGAAACUAGACACUUGUAAAUGCUAAUGAUUGUUGUUUUUAACUAUAUCACAUUAUUUCAGUAAAUUCACAUUACUUUUACUAUUCUUUAAAGUUUACCAUUUAUUUAUGACACUUUAUCUGUUAUUACACACAUGUUGUAAUGUUAAGGUGUAUGAAAUAAAAAACCAUGCAGUACAGUGUUGAGUUAUUGAUUUAAAAGUGUGAUAACUGCAAAGGACGAAAGUGGGACUAUAGUGAAGCAGUGCAUCUCUGCAUUGAGGUUGUCCCUGUUAACCGUCGGGGUAAGCUGAAAGUUGAUGUCAGUGGAGUGACGCUUUGUUCAGUCAGAUGGCCCUGCCACAGACAGCAGGUGGAGGAAUACAAGUAACGAAUGGGCAGUUGGGCCAGCUAGACAUUUGUCACAGACAAAGCCGGUAAGAUAUGAUUUGUACAAACUAUUUUUGGUUUGGGGAACGUUCACGGAAUGUUAAUUUUUAUUAAAAAUAUAAACUUAAACUUGCAGAGAGGGCCAAGCUUACUCUUGUCAUAGCCCUGUGUUCAAAGUGCAGAAAUGCUCUCUUGCAUUUUCUGCUUGCUCUUCUGUGUGCUUUUAUCGUGUGCCUGCAUUUUGUUAUGUGUAUUACUUUUGAGACUAAAUACACAGUAUAAAUAUAUACCGUAUUUUCCGCACUAUAAGGCGCAUCGAAUUAUAAGCGCACCUUCAAUGAAUGGCCUAUUGUUUUCAUAUAUAGGGGGCACCGCAUUAUAGGGCGCAUAGAAUAGAAGCUACAGUAGUGGCUGGGGUUGCGUUAUGCAUCCACUAGAUGGAGCUGCGCUAAAGGGAAUGUCAACAAAACAGUCAGAUAAGUCAGUCAAACUUUAUUAAUAGAACUUUUCCUCGAUUCAGUAAACGCGUAAAAGAAACAGUCUGAUACUGUUACGGUAAAUCAAACGUUAGUGCAAUCACAAUAUAGUAACUCUCGAAAUAGUGCAAAGCAAUAACAAUAUAACAAUAACUCAACGUUGUUCAAACGUUAAUGUCCAUAUUCACAAUACGUAAAGCUCACUUUAUCAGUUCAUUCCUUAUCCACGAAUCCCUCGAAUUCUUCUUCUUCAGUGUAAAAGAAACAGUCUGAUACCAUUACGGUAAAUCAAACGUUAGUGCAAUCACAAUAUAGUAACUCUCGAAAUAGUGCAAAGCAAUAACAAUAUAACAAUAACUCAACGUUGUUCAAACGUUAAUGUCCAUAUUCACAACACGUAAAGCUCACUUUAUCAGUUCAUUCCUUAUCCACGAAUCCCUCGAAUUCUUCUUCUUCAGUGUCUGAAUUGAACAGUUGGGCGAAUACGGCAUCCAACAUGCCCGUCUCGUCAACGUCGUCAUUAUCCGAGUCAGAGUCAUUAUCCGAGUCAGUGUCGCUGCUGUUUUCUGGCAGUUCAGUGACGAUUCCUGCCUUCCUGAAAGCUUGGACCACAGUUGAGACUGAUAUAUCAGCCCAGGCAUUUACGAUCCACUGGCGGAUAGUGGCGUAUGCCGUUCGGCGCUGUCUGAAUGUCUUGGUGAACGUGUGUUCGCCUUCUGUCAUACACUGCCCCCACGCAGUUCGCAGUCUAGCUUUGAGUGUCCUGUUGACACCAAUAUCUAGCGGCUGGAGUUCUUUUGUCAAUCCACCCGGAAUGACGGCAAGCACUGAAUUAGUGUGCUUCACUUGUUUUUUGACACCGUCGGUGAUAUGGGAGCGCAUGGAGUAAUAGAUCAAUAGGGGCUGUGUGAAAAAAGCCACCCGGUCUCUUGACGUAAAUUUCUCUCAGCCACUCACUCAUCUUUUCUUCAUCCAUCCAUCCCUUAGAGUUAGCUUUGAUAACGACGCCGGCUGGAAAGUUUUCUUUUGGCAAGGUUUUCCUCUUGAAAAUAACCAUGGGUGGAAGUUUCUGACCAUUAGCCUGGCAGGCGAGAACUACAGUGAAGGACGACUUCUAAUUCCCUGUGGUGCGAACAUUCACCGUACGCGCUCCCAUUUUAUCCAGUGUGGUUCACAGGAAUAUCAAAGGUGAGUGGAACCUCGUCCAUGUUGAUGAUGUGCUCUGGCCGGAAUUUUUUUUUUUUCAGCGAUCUUGUUUUUGCAGUAUGCGCGGAAAGUGGCCAGCUUUUCUUGGUAGUCUUUUGGCAGUUGCUGCGAAACACUAGUUCGUGUGCGGAUGGAGAGAUUACGUCUUUUCAUAAACCGAUAGCACCAAGAAGGUGCCUCUAAAUUCAUCGAUGUUAAGUUCGCGUGCUAGCACUGUUGCCUUUAUUCGAAUAGUGACUGUAGAGACACUUCUACUUGCUGCUCUCUGUCAACAACCCCCUAUUCGAGUUUGUCCUCUAACUGUGGCCAUCUUGCUUUGUUCCCUCGGAAACUCUGUUUAGUCUUCUUUACCUGGCGCAGGUCAUCUUGCUGCUUCAUCCACUUCCGCACCAUUGAUUCGUUAAUGUUAAAUUGUCUCGCUGCUGCUCUAUUCCCAUGUUCUACUGCGUGACUGAUAGCCUUGAGCUUGAACUCCACGUCGUAAGCAUGUCUCUUGAAAGGAACCAUUUUGGGGUCUUUACACACACAAAUGGUGUUGUACUGGAAUUCCUCUUUACUGUACCGGUACUUAAAGCCGUUACUUCGGCCACGCCCCCUGACUACGGUAGCCACGAUUAACCAAUAUUGAUCCAUACAUAAGGCGCAUCGGAUUAUAAGGCGCACUGUCGGCUUUUGAGAAAAUUGAAGGCUUUUAGGUGUGCAUUAUAGUGCGGAAAAUACAGUAAUGUAUAAAUGCCAUCAAGAACGGUACAAAGAUGGAUGGAUGAAUAGGACAAAAUAUGAUAGGAUGCCUUUGUGAUUGCACACUUGUACAACAUCUGAUGCAACUCUUUGUGGUCAGGGAAUAAGGUGCUAAAAGAUAUAAUAAAAAAUGAACUGCAACAAACAACUCAAAAGCAGAAUGGAAUAAAUAAGUAGGAAGACAAAAACAUAAAUAAAAUAAAUGAAAAAAAUAUCUAUUGCACAAUUCCAGAUAUUUGUUUUGCACAGUGAUGAGGUAAUUUCUUUUAUAGUGCUUGGAUAAAAACUGUUCAGGGGUCUGGAGGUAAGGACAUCAAUGGACAGAUGAUGCUUCUCGGAGGGCAGCAUUGUGAACAGAAAGUUGUCUGGAUGACAACAGCAGUUCCUGGGACAAAUUUGCUUUAAUCAGUGACUGUAAGAAGUACAUUUGCUACUGUGCUUUUUUCCACAAACCAAAGGACUGUGGUAGUCCAGGUCUUGAGAGAUGUAAGUUCCCAGGAAUUUGAAAUCACUCACUCUCUCCACCUUGACUGCUUUGAUGUAGAGAGGGGCAGGAUCCCCCCUCUUCCUCCUGAAGUAAUAACCAGUUAUUUUGUUUUGGACUGGUUGAUUGCCAGAUGAUUAUCUGAGCACCAUGAAGUUGAUGAAAAGCGGUCUCAAAACACAGCCCUGGGGGGCAUUUUCUCAUUAAUCACUCCACCACACCCAAAUUUUCCUGCCACUCCAGUGGGGGAAUCGAAUUAAACUGGCAACCCGUCGGUCACAAGCCGCUUCUCCAACCUCUGGGACAUGGCUGGCGGAAUCUGGAGUGCCCAGAGGGAAUAAAUACACUCCACAUAAAAGAUCUGAGCCAGGGUUGGAAAUCAGAACCUCCUUGCUGCUGUACCAUCCAAUGACAAGAAACAAACAGACUGCUUAUAAAUCUAGUGAAGGCAAAGCCCCCAGUGCCCUGGCCACCAGCAGCUUGAGGAACCCUGUAGCUUUUUUGCAGCAACAUUGAUGUUUGACUCAGGGACAUUGGUUUUGGUGAUAUUGAGCUUCAGGUGAUUGUUGGUGCAUCAGCUGAUGAACUUUGGUGUAUGUUGUAACUGAAAGCAAUCAUCCACAACAUUAAAAUCAUUGACAGGCGAAGUGAAUAAAAUUCAUCAGAUGUUUAUAAUGCAGUGUUCUGUGGGGAAACUUUGCAUUCUGGCAAUCGUGGAUGAUUUCUGACAUACCCCACGCACCUAAACAUUGCAGACCAGAUACACCUCCACCAUGGCAACAGCUCUUCCUUUUAGCUAGUCUUCCCCCACCUUGGACAGUGUACCCCGUCACAUUUCGAAAAUGGCUCAGGAAUGUCUCAAAUGGCCUUCACGCUCCCCAAAUACAAACCUACAACCUGACGGCCCCGUCUCACCUGUCAAGGGAAGAGACACAGGACCACUGAUAAUGGUAUUUUGUGGUCACCAGCAUUGGAAUGUUGGAUCCUUUGGGUCCUGUUCAUUUAGGAUAGGGCCUCCCACCUGUACUCUUGUUUCUGAAACUGCAGACAGUUUCAGAGUGAAGUUUAAAACAAGUCUGAGCUCUCCUCUUGCUGAGAAAUGCUCUACGUCAAAGCAGAAUCUGGUUAAUUCCUUCAGAAGCUUAUCAUCAUGGUCAUACUGUAACUUUACUGGUAAGUAGGGUUGGAAGGUAAUAAGGUAUACUGCAGGGUCUUAAAAAUAGCAAGGUAUCAGUUUCAGUACCGUCAGUAAAAAAAAAAAAAAAAUAAAUAAAAUAAAAUAAUGCAAUGCACUUAUGUAGGAGGUAUGGA